rnacentral:rRNA from 1 species
AUUGAACGCUGGCGGCAGGCUUAACACAUGCAAGUCGAGCGGGGACUUCGGUCCUAGCGGCGAACGGGUGAGGAAUGCUUGGGAAUCUGCCCAGUAGCGGGGGAUAACGUUUCGAAAGGAACGCUAAUACCGCAUACGCCCUACGGGGGAAAGGGGGGGAUCUUCGGACCUCUCACUAUUGGAUGAGCCCAAGUCGGAUUAGCUAGUUGGUGGGGUAAAGGCCUACCAAGGCGACGAUCCGUAGCUGGUCUGAGAGGAUGAUCAGCCACACUGGAACUGAGACACGGUCCAGACUCCUACGGGAGGCAGCAGUGGGGAAUAUUGGACAAUGGGCGAAAGCCUGAUCCAGCCAUGCCGCGUGUGUGAAGAAGGCCUUCGGGUUGUAAAGCACUUUAAGCGAGGAGGAAUGGCUGAGGGUUAAUAACCUUCAGCAGUGACGUUACUCGCAGAAUAAGCACCGGCUAACUCUGUGCCAGCAGCCGCCGCAGUAA